AGCGAACGCUGGCGGCAGGCUUAAUACAUGCAAGUCGAGCGCCUGUAGCAAUACAGGAGCGGCAGACGGGAGAGUAACACGUGGGAACAUGCCCUUCAGUUCGGAACAACCAAGGGAAACUUUGGCUAAUACCGGAUACGCCCUUACGGGGAAAGAUUUAUCGCUGAAGGAUUGGCCCGCGUCUGAUUAGCUAGUUGGUGAGGUAAUGGCUCACCAAGGCGACGAUCAGUAGCUGGUCUGAGAGGAUGAUCAGCCACAUUGGGACUGAGACACGGCCCAAACUCCUACGGGAGGCAGCAGUGGGGAAUAUUGGACAAUGGGCGCAAGCCUGAUCCAGCCAUGCCGCGUGAGUGAUGAAGGCCCUAGGGUUGUAAAGCUCUUUCACCGGAGAAGAUAAUGACGGUAUCCGGAGAAGAAGCCCCGGCUAACUUCGUGCCAGCAGCCGCGGUAAUAC
rnacentral:rRNA from 1 species